GACGAACGCUGGCGGCGUGCUUAACACAUGCGAGUCGUACGGUAAGGCCCUUUCGGGGGUACACGAGUGGCGAACGGGUGAGUAACACGUGAGUAACCUGCCCACAACUUUGGGAUAACGCUAGGAAACUGGUGCUAAUACUGGAUAUGUGCUCCUGCUGCAUGGUGGGGGUUGGAAAGCUCCGGCGGUUGUGGAUGGACUCGCGGCCUAUCAGCUUGUUGGUGGGGUAGUGGCCUACCAAGGCGGCGACGGGUAGCCGGCCUGAGAGGGUGACCGGCCACAUUGGGACUGAGAGACGGCCCAGACUCCUACGGGAGGCAGCAGUGGGGAAUAUUGCACAAUGGGCGCAAGCCUGAUGCAGCAACGCCGCGUGCGGGAUGACGGCCUUCGGGUUGUAAACCGCUUUCAGCAGGGACGAAGCUUUUUGUGACGGUACCUGCAGAAGAAGCACCGGCUAACUACGUG
rnacentral:rRNA from 1 species